GAUGAACGCUGGCGGCGUGCCUAAUACAUGCAAGUCGAGCGAACAGACGAGGAGCUUGCUCCUCUGACGUUAGCGGCGGACGGGUGAGUAACACGUGGAUAACCUACCUAUAAGACUGGGAUAACUUCGGGAAACCGGAGCUAAUACCGGAUAAUAUAUUGAACCGCAUGGUUCAAUAGUGAAAGACGGUUUUGCUGUCACUUAUAGAUGGAUCCGCGCCGCAUUAGCUAGUUGGUAAGGUAACGGCUUACCAAGGCAACGAUGCGUAGCCGACCUGAGAGGGUGCUCGGCCACACUGGAACUGAGACACGGUCCAGACUCCUACGGGAGGCAGCAGUAGGGAAUCUUCCGCAAUGGGCGAAAGCCUGACGGAGCAACGCCGCGUGAGUGAUGAAGGUCUUCGGCUCGUAAAACUCUGUUAUUAGGGAAGAACAAAUGUGUAAGUAACUAUGCACGUCUUGACGGUACCUAAUCAGAAAGCCACGGCUAACUACGU
rnacentral:rRNA from 1 species